UACGAGUGCCCCAAGCGUUAUCCGGAAUUAUUGGGCGUAAAGCGCACGUAGGUGGAUUAGUAAGUUGGAUGUGAAAUCCCUGGGCUUAACCUGGGAAUUGCAUUCAAUACUGCUAGUCUAGAGUACAGUAGAGGCAGAUGGAAUUCCGGGUGUAGCGGUGGAAUGCGUAGAGAUCCGGAAGAACACCGGUGGCGAAGGCGGUCUGCUGGGCAGUUGCUGACACUGAGGCGCGACAGCGUGGGGAGCAAACAGG
rnacentral:rRNA from 1 species